rnacentral:rRNA from 1 species
CAUGCAAGUCGAACGAAGUAGCAAUACUUAGUGGCAGACGGGUGAGUAACAUGUGGGUAUCUACCCUUUGGCCUGGAAUAACACGAGGAAACUUGUGCUAAUACCGGAUAAGUCUUUACGGAGAAAGCUUUAUGCACCAUUGGAUGAGCCCGCACUUGAUUAGUUUGUUGGUAGGGUAAUGGCCUACCAAGACUAUGAUCAAUAGCUGAUUUGAGAGGAUGAUCAGCCACAUUGGGACUGAGACACGGCCCAAACUCCUACGGGAGGCAGCAGUGGGGAAUCUUGCACAAUGGAGGAAACUCUGAUGCAGCGAUGCCGCGUGAGUGAAGAAGGCCCUUGGGUUGUAAAGCUCUUUCGUCGGGGAAGAAAAUGACUGUACCCGAAUAAGAAGGUCCGGCUAACUUCGUGCCAGCAGCCGCGGUAAUACGAAGGGACCUAGCGUAGUUCGGAAUUACUGGGCUUAAAGAGUUCGUAGGUGGUUGAAAAAGUUAGUGGUGAAAUCCCAGAGCUUAACUCUGGAACUGCCAUUAAAACUUUUCAGCUAGAGUAUGAUAGAGGAAAGCAGAAUUUCUAGUGUAGAGGUGAAAUUCGUAGAUAUUAGAAAGAAUACCAAUUGCGAAGGCAGCUUUCUGGAUCAUUACUGACACUGAGGAACGAAAGCAUGGGUAGCGAAGAGGAUUAGAUACCCUCGUAGUCCAUGCCGUAAACGAUGUG